CUUUGGAAUAUCCCAUUUCUAAAGUGCAAGUAAACGCAUCAGACCUGAUUUAUCUGAUUAAACCUACUGUUUAUAUUUUGGGGGAUAAUAUUACAAGAGUUAAAGUUGUAUCUAUAGGCAGACAACAUAUUUUGAUCAUCUGGUGAUGGUUGGAUGCAAACUGAACUUUUGUGGAAAAAAAUCCUGACAGAAUCCUUACCCAAGUCCAAACGCUUCACCACAUCGUCCCGAUAGCUUCUCUACAGAUAUUCUUGGACCCACAGCUUUGCUCGGUGAGCAGACACUUCUGGACAGAAUUAUGCUUGAAUGCAAGUUGAUCC